UUCACAUCCUUGGUGGGACGGAGCAGGAAGGCUGGAGAUUUCAUCAAGCUACUCACAGCAGCAUGCCAUUUAAAAUUCAUGAAUUAUUUAUUUCUGGAAUUUUCCGUUUAAUAUUUUUGGACCACAAUUGACCUCAGAUUUUACUUUCUACUCUUGUCAGUCAUAUCUGCAAGGCUGACAGUUACCAGGGGCUGUGGCCAGGCAUGAGGGAGAAUGUGUCAUUGCUGGCUGCGUUGGUCAUAGCAACGUGUCUGCCUCAGAACAGAUCCAGCAUGGAUGAGCAAACAGAAAAAUGUGUAAGAAGGCUUGUGACUGAAACAGACCAAGGGUGAGAGAACCUUUGUGGGAGCGCAGAAGUCCAGCAGAGAGACCCUAGCACUUUAUUUGGACCAAAAAAUAAAUAAUAAAUAAAUAAAUAAAUAAAUCCAAAACUAGAUGCAUUAAAGAAGGUUAGACUUCUCCUAUGGAGAAUGCAGCAAGAAAAUACCAUCUUGAAGCAGAGAGCAGCGCUCAUCAGGCAUCAGUCCUUCUGGAGCCUUGAUCUUGGACCUCCCAGCUCCAAAAUAAUAAGUAAUAAAUUGUUAUUGCUUAUAAAUU
rnacentral:lncRNA from 10 species